UACGUAGGGCGCAAGCGUUAUCCGGAAUUAUUGGGCGUAAAGAGCUCGUAGGCGGUUUGUCGCGUCUGCCGUGAAAGUCCGGGGCUCAACCCCGGACUUGCAGUGGGUACGGGCAGACUAGAGUGUGGUAGGGGAGACUGGAAUUCCUGGUGUAGCGGUGAAAUGCGCAGAUAUCAGGAGGAACACCGAUGGCGAAGGCAGGUCUCUGGGCCACUACUGACGCUGGAGAAGCGGAAAGCAUGGGGAGCGAACAGG
rnacentral:rRNA from 1 species